AGAGAGGUAAACUGAUGCAUGCUUGAAUUACAGAAAUUGAGUUCAUUCAGAAAUAGCAGAGGAACUGCAAUUCUGGAAUCACACGCUGUAGCAAGCUCCAAUUUGACUAGCAUUGACCUAGAACAGAGGUGGAAGAGUACGAGAAUGUCCAGAAGACAGCAGGAAUUCAGGGGGCCAAAGAUCUUUUCCGGAAGAACGGUCAGUUAUGGACCUCAAGAGGGAGGAAGAGACACACCUUGUAAGUUGAUGCCACUUCACUACUCUAGGAGGAGGAAGGAAGAUUUCCCUCCUUGCCCAGCAAGUCAGCUAAUGAGAAGCCAUCACCACCCGAAACU